rnacentral:misc_RNA from 1 species
GUAACAAGGUUUCCGUAGGUGAACCUGCGGAAGGAUCAUUACCGAGAGUUGUAGGCUUCUGUCUACCAUCUCUUACCCAUGUCUUUUGCGUACUUAACGUUUCCUCGGCAGGUCCGCCUGCCGUAGGACAAUUAUAAACCAUUUGCAGUUGCAGUCAGCGUCUGAAAAACAUAAUAAUUACAACUUUUAACAACGGAUCUCUUGGUUCUGGCAUCGAUGAAGAACGCAGCGAAAUGCGAUAAGUAGUGUGAAUUGCAGAAUUCAGUGAAUCAUCGAAUCUUUGAACGCACAUUGCGCCCCUUGGUAUUCCAUGGGGCAUGCCUGUUCGAGCGUCAUUUGUACCUUCAAGCUCUGCUUGGUGUUGGGUGUUUGUCCCGCCUUUGUGCGCGGACUCGCCUUAAAGCAAUUGGCAGCCGGCGUAUAGAUUUCGGAGCGCAGCACAAUCCGCGCUUUGUACUCAUUACGACGACAUCCAUCAAGACAUUUUUUAACUCUUGACCUCGGAUCAGGUAGGGAUACCCGCUGAACUUAAGCAUAUCAAUAA